rnacentral:rRNA from 1 species
AGUGAACGCUGGCGGUAGGCCUAACACAUGCAAGUCGAACGGCAGCACAGUAAGAGCUUGCUCUUACGGGUGGCGAGUGGCGGACGGGUGAGGAAUACAUCGGAAUCUACUUUUUCGUGGGGGAUAACGUAGGGAAACUUACGCUAAUACCGCAUACGACCUACGGGUGAAAGCAGGGGAUCUUCGGACCUUGCGCGAUUGAAUGAGCCGAUGUCGGAUUAGCUAGUUGGCGGGGUAAAGGCCCACCAAGGCGACGAUCCAUAGCUGGUCUGAGAGGAUGAUCAGCCACACUGGAACUGAGACACGGUCCAGACUCCUACGGGAGGCAGCAGUGGGGAAUAUUGGACAAUGGGCGCAAGCCUGAUCCAGCCAUACCGCGUGGGCGAAGAAGGCCUUCGGGUUGUAAAGCCCUUUUGUUGGGAAAGAAAAGCAGCAGGUUAAUACCCCGCUGUUCUGACGGUACCCAAAGAAUAAGCACCGGCUAACUUCGUG